rnacentral:rRNA from 1 species
AGGAACAAUUGGAGGGCAAGUCUGGUGCCAGCAGCCGCGGUAAUUCCAGCUCCAAUAGCGUAUAUUAAAGUUGUUGCGGUUAAAAAGCUCGUAGUUGAACUUUGGACUUAUAUUACUAGUCAGAUGGAAAUCUAGUACUAGAAAGAAUAUAAGUCUUUCCUUCUGGGUAAAUUAUUAAAAUUUUAAUAAUUGAACCAGGACGAUGACUUCGAAAAAAUUAGAGUGUUCAAAGCAGGCGAGAAGCAUGAAUAUAUUAGCAUGGAAUAAUAGAAUAGGACGUUUGGACCUAUUUUGUUGGUUUCUAGGACCAUCGUAAUGAUUAAUAGGGACGGUCGGGGGCAUCAGUAUUCAAUUGUCAGAGGUGAAAUUCUUAGAUUUAUUGAAGACUAACUACUGCGAAAGCAUUUGCCAAGGACGUUUUCAUUAAUCAAGAACGAAAGUUAGGGGAUCGAAGAUGAUCAGAUACCGUCGUAGUCUUAACCAUAAACUAUGCCAACUAGGGAUCGGGUGGAGUUUAAAUAGAGACGCACUCGGGACCUUAAGAGAAAUCAAAGUAUUUGGGUUCUGGGGGGAGUAUGGUCGCAAGGCUGAAACUUAAAGGAAUUGACGGAAGGGCACCACCAGGAGUGGAGCCUGCGGCUUAAUUUGACUCAACACGGGGAAACUCACCAGGUCCGGACACAAUAAGGAUUGACAGAUUGAGAGCUCUUUCUUGAUUUUGUGGG